rnacentral:rRNA from 1 species
UACGUAUUGUGCGAGCGUUAAUCGGAAUUACUGGGCGUAAAGCGUGCGCAGGCGGUUUUGUAAGUCAGAUGUGAAAUCCCCGGGCUUAACCUGGGAAUGGCAUUUGGGACUGCAAGGCUCGAGUGCGGCAGAGGAGACUGGAAUUCCUGGUGUAGCAGUGAAAUGCGUAGAUAUCAGGAGGAAUACCGAUGGCGAAGGCAGGUCUCUGGGCUGACACUGACGCUCAGGCACGAAAGCGUGGGGAGCAAACAGG